rnacentral:rRNA from 1 species
UACAGUGGCCAAACCUCCUUUUCAAAGUCUCGUUAGAUCUCAGAAGCUAAGCAGGGCUGGGCCUGGUUAGUACUUGGAUGGGAGACCACUGGGAAUACCAGGUGCCACAGUGG